CAGUAACGGCGAGUGAAGCGGUAACAGCUCAAAUUUGAAAUCUGGCCUCACGGUCCGAGUUGUAAUUUGUAGAGGAUGCUUCGAGCAUGGUCUGGCCUAAGUUCCUUGGAACAGGACGUCAUAGAGGGUGAGAAUCCCGUAUGCGGCCAGGUGCCUACGCUCAUGUGAAGCUCCUUCGACGAGUCGAGUUGUUUGGGAAUGCAGCUCAAAAUGGGUGGUAAAUUUCAUCUAAAGCUAAAUAUUGGCCAGAGACCGAUAGCGCACAAGUAGAGUGAUCGAAAGAUGAAAAGCACUUUGGAAAGAGAGUUAAACAGUACGUGAAAUUGUUGAAAGGGAAGCGCUUGCAACCAGACUUGCGCGCGGCCGAUCAUCCGGUGUUCUCACCGGUGCACUCGGCCGUGCUCAGGCCAGCAUCGGUUUUGGCGGCUGGAUAAAGGCCCUAGGAAUGUGGCUCCUCUCGGGGAGUGUUAUAGCCUAGGGUGCAAUGCAGCCUGCUGGGACCGAGGACCGCGCUUCGGCUAGGAUGCUGGCGUAAUGGUUGUAAGCGGCCCGUCUUGAAACACGGACCAAGGAGUCUAACAUCUAUGCGAGUGUUUGGGUGUCAAACCCAUACGCGUAAUGAAAGUGAACGGAGGUGAGAACCCUUAAGGGUGCAUCAUCGACCGAUCCUGAUGUCUUCGGAAGGAUUUGAGUAAGAGCAUAGCUGUUGGGA
rnacentral:rRNA from 1 species